GCGUCCGCGCCGUGACCUCGGCCUUCUAAGCCGGGGGUCGAAGGUUCGAAUCCUUCCGGGUGCG
rnacentral:tRNA from 1 species